rnacentral:misc_RNA from 1 species
ACAGUUAAUCCAAACAGGCCCUUAGUAUUAUAUAAGAAUUAUAGAUAGUAGUCUUCCAAACUAAAAGGAAUUGCUAGAAGAUGAUAUAUAUGUAGAUACAUGGAAUUGCUAGAAGCCAACUCAACUGAACUUAGCCCACUUACUAUCCAGUUAGGAUCAGUUAUUAGAUAAUUUUCUUCAUUGUGCUUGUUUUUGAGAAUGUAUUUGCUUUAACUGGCCAGGAAAUUUCAAAUUUAUCCUAACUGAUUGAAGCAGUCUGCCUGGCAACAAGAUUAUUCUUUAUUUUUUCUGAUAGAAUGUCUUAGUUUUCUGGGUGCAGGAGCUCAAACAUAUCCCAAUACUUAUUACAGGUCAACUGAUGUUAGAGAUGUUGCAGAAGCACAUAUUCGAGCUUUUGAGAUUCCAGCAGCUUGUGGCAGAUAUUGUUUAGUUGCAAAUGUGUCGCACUAUUCUGAACUUGUGAAGAUUGUCCAUGAACAUUUUCCCUCCUUGCAACUUCCUGCAAAGUAAGUGAUUGUUUUCUGCAAUUCGAAUGACACUCAUUUUAUGUUGGCAUCUUCUUUUGGAUAACAUUUCUGGGGUUACAUGGGCAAUUCAAGUAAGCUGUUAGGAUCAGUUGUGAGAGAGUUUGUUGAGAAACAUUCUGAAGAUUAAUUCUAUGGUUUUAAAAAGUAAAAUUGUGCACAAAAACUUUCAUUUAUCACCAAUAUCCUAAAUAACUUGUUACUUCUUUUUUUUGUCUUUUUGAGCUUUCUUGUUCUCUAACUGCAAUUUCUCCCACAUUGAAAUCCAUGUGUUGUUUAAACAUUGCAGAUGUGAUGAUAAACCUCAAUUCAUGCCACAUGUCAAGGUAUCCAAAGAGAAAGCAAAAACUUUGGGUAUCAACUUCAUUCCUCUGGAAGCUACUCUCAAGGACACUAUUGAGAGCCUGAAGGAGAAGGGCUUCCUCAGCA